rnacentral:tRNA from 9 species
GCUCUUAAAGCAUUGAUGGCGAUGCACUGGAUUUGUAACCCAGGGAACUUGGUUCGAUUCCGAGUGAGAGCACCA